CAGGGCAGGGCGCAUGCGUAGUGAGCCUCGCGCGCGUCGCCGGCGACGCGGGAACGAACGUUCGGUGAGGCGGCGCGGAGAGGGCAGAGUUUCGACGCCCCGGCUUUCUGCUCGUUUUCCCGGAGUUCCCUGCGGUGGGAGCGUGAGCCGCCCAGGGAGCGGCGACCGAGGCCUUCCCCGAGUCCACAGGUGGCCUUCCUGACAGCAGGAUGUUCCCGUGUGGUCGAUGCUGAUGCUGAUGGGGGGCUCCUGACCCAAGCUGGGUGCAUCAGCUUCCUUCAUUCCUCAUGACUCCAGUGCAGCUCUUCCUGUCCAUGGAUCCUGUCCCUGUGCUUUAAAUAAAACCACCUUUUUUGCACCA